UACGUAGGUCCCGAGCGUUGUCCGGAUUUAUUGGGCGUAAAGCGAGCGCAGGUGGUUUAUUAAGUCUGGUGUAAAAGGCAGUGGCUCAACCAUUGUAUGCAUUGGAAACUGGUAGACUUGAGUGCAGGAGAGGAGAGUGGAAUUCCAUGUGUAGCGGUGAAAUGCGUAGAUAUAUGGAGGAACACCGGUGGCGAAAGCGGCUCUCUAGCCUGUAACUGACACUGAGGCUCGAAAGCGUGGGGAGCAAACAGG
rnacentral:rRNA from 1 species